rnacentral:lncRNA from 1 species
CUUUUAUUUGCUCUUAGCAAGGUUUUAAACCUUCCUGAAAUGGAGAAGUGUCAUGUUCGCUUCAGCAAUGGGAUUAGUUAAAAUACAUUUUUGCUCGGUAGAAAGGAGCUAGUGAGGCUGUAAAGGAAGAAGACAACUUUGCAAGAGCCCUUUUUUCCUGUUUCAUGGAUAUGCUGGCUGGAAGGAGGAUGGGUGGCUGAAACAGCUCUGCUGUCACAGUGAUGCUGGAUCCAGCCAGCUUGGCUGUAGCCCCUUCUGAGAGGAGAGGGCAGGACUGCUGUGUGCAGCCUUUUCUGUGCCUUGGGUAUCACAAACAGUGCCCAAUGAAGCCAGGUCCAAUGUCCAGUGGCCUCUUGCAGUUGCUCCUGAACACAUCAGGCUGCAUUUUCAGGUCAGUGCCACCUUACAAAGAAUGUGAGUUACUAAUGUCUUUGUACA